UACAGAGGGUUCGAGCGUUAUUUGGAAUUACUGGGCGUAAAGCGCACGUAGGCGGCUUGGUAUGUCGGGUGUGAAAUCCCCGGGCUUAACCUGGGAAUGGCAUUUGGGACUGCAAGGCUUGAGUGUGGCAGAGGAGACUGGAAUUCCUGGUGUAGCAGUGAAAUGCGUAGAUAUCAGGAGGAACACCGAUGGCGAAGGCAGGUCUCUGGGCAGACACUGACGCUCAUGCACGAAAGCGUGGGGAGCAAACAGG
rnacentral:rRNA from 1 species